UGACCUCGGAUCAGGUAGGGAUACCCGCUGAACUUAAGCAUAUCAAUAAGCGGAGGAAAAGAAACCAACAGGGAUUGCCCUAGUAACGGCGAGUGAAGCGGCAAUAGCUCAAAUUUGAAAGCUGGCCUUCUGGUCCGCAUUGUAAUUUGUAGAGGAUGCUUUUGGGCAGCCGCCGGUCUAAGUUCCUUGGAACAGGACGUCAUAGAGGGUGAGAAUCCCGUAUGUGACCGGCUCUGGCACCCUAUGUAAAGCUCCUUCGACGAGUCGAGUUGUUUGGGAAUGCAGCUCUAAAUGGGAGGUAAAUUUCUUCUAAAGCUAAAUACCGGCGAGAGACCGAUAGCGCACAAGUAGAGUGAUCGAAAGAUGAAAAGCACUUUGGAAAGAGAGUUAAAAAGCACGUGAAAUUGUUGAAAGGGAAGCGCUUGCAAUAAGACUUGGACUUGGCUGUUCAACCGGUCUUCUGACCGGCCCACUCAGUCUCGUCCAGGCCAGCAUCAGUUUCGGCGGCCGGAUAAAGGCCCCGGGAAUGUAGCUGCCCCCCCGGGGGCAGUGUUAUAGCCCGGGGUGUAAUACGGCCAGCCGGGACUGAGGUCCGCGCUC
rnacentral:rRNA from 1 species